rfam:Macaca mulatta chromosome 13, whole genome shotgun sequence.
GUUUUAGUGUAAGUAUGUUCCAUGCCACAUUUGGGACAUACUUAUACUAUAA